CAUUAGUUGGAUCAAUGGUGAAGUUAUGUAUGGCCAGGUAGUAAUCUCUUGCUUGUAUUCUCUCUUUUAGUUUAGCUUAAAUUCUGAUGCAGUCCAUGUGAGCCCCACUUAUCUUGAGGACCAAGAUUGGGAGGAAGUGCCAAGCACUGUCAUCUCUCUUCUGGUUUAGCUUAAAAUCUUUAUUUGUAAAUUUGUGCCCAUAUGCAUUGUCGGAGAAACUAAAAAACUUACUCAUUCUCAGAUUGCAUUGUGGAAUAUGCAUCCAUUAUUCAAAGAAAGGGCGACAUUCCAAGCACUCACACUUUCUCUCCUUACUAGCUAAAUUGGCUGACAAGCUAAAGAAGUCAGUGGAGGAUGAAAUUCAUUUUCUCAAGGGAAGGGUUUCAGAACUUGAAAGUGAUCUUGUGCCGAAGUCCACAGAAGUUACAUCUGUAGUUUCAAGGAAAGAAGAAGCUCUAUCUUCUGCAUUUGCUGAAAUUGACCGUCUGAAGGAAGAAAAUUCUGUAAAAACGUGAGCAUUAUUGAAUGCAUAUGGAGAGUGUUUAUUGUGUUGGAGUGUAUUUGUUUCUUGCAAAUGAGGGCACGCCUUAGUUGUAAUUCUUAUGAUAGGUUGAGCAAAGUGAAGUAUUGUUUAUUUAGAAAUGUGAAUGUAGGAUGCCUUGCAUGAUUUGAUUGUUAAUUGUAAUAAAUGCAUCAUUUUUUUUCUGAUUG